rnacentral:rRNA from 1 species
AUACGUAGGGGGCGAGCGUUGUCCGGAAUUAUUGGGCGUAAAGGGUACGCAGGCGGCCAUGCAAGUCAGAUGUGAAAGAUCACGGCUUAACCGUGGUAAGCAUUUGAAACUGUGUGGCUUGAGUUAAGGAGAGGAAAGUGGAAUUCCUGGUGUAGCGGUGAAAUGCGUAGAUAUCAGGAGGAAUAUCAGUGGCGAAGGCGACUUUCUGGACUUAUACUGACGCUGAGGUACGAAAGCGCGGGGAGCAAACAGGAUUAGAUACCCUGGUAGUCCGCGCCGUAAACGAUGAGUGCUAGGUGUCGGGGGUCAAACCUCGGUGCCGCAGUUAACACAUUAAGCACUCCGCCUGGGGAGUACGUGCGCAAGCAUGAA